GACGAACGCUGGCGGCGUGCUUAACACAUGCAAGUCGAACGGAAAGGCCUCUUUCGGGGGGUACUCGAGUGGCGAACGGGUGAGUAACACGUGAGUAACCUGCCCUUGACUUUGGGAUAACUUCAGGAAACUGGGGCUAAUACCGGAUAGGAGCUCCUGCUGCAUGGUGGGGGUUGGAAAGUUUCGGCGGUUGGGGAUGGACUCGCGGCUUAUCAGCUUGUUGGUGGGGUAGUGGCUUACCAAGGCGUUGACGGGUAGCCGGCCUGAGAGGGUGACCGGCCACAUUGGGACUGAGAUACGGCACAGACUCCUACGGGAGGCAGCAGUGGGGAAUAUUGCACAAGGGGUGGAAGCCUGAUGCAGCAACGCCGUGUGCGGGAUGACGGCCUUCGGGUUGUAAACCGCUUUCGCUCAUGACGAAGCUUUGUGUGACGGUAGUGGGUAAAGAAGCACCGGCUAACUACGUG
rnacentral:rRNA from 1 species